rnacentral:rRNA from 1 species
UACGGAGGGUGCGAGCGUUGUUCGGAAUUACUGGGCGUAAAGCGCGUGUAGGCGGCCUCUUCAGUCUGGUGUGAAAGCCCGGGGCUCAACCCCGGAAGUGCAUUGGAUACUGGGAGGCUGGAGUACCGGAGAGGAGGGUGGAAUUCCUGGUGUAGCGGUGAAAUGCGUAGAUAUCAGGAGGAACACCUGUGGCGAAGGCGGCCCUCUGGACGGAUACUGACGCUGAGACGCGAAAGCGUGGGGAGCAAACAGG